rnacentral:rRNA from 1 species
CCUAGGGGAGGCAGCAGUAGGGAAUAUUGGGCAAUGGGCGCAAGCCUGACCCAGCGACGCCGCGUGAGGGAUGAAGGCCUUCGGGUUGUAAACCGCUUUCAGUAGGGAAGAAGCGAAAGUGACGGUACCUAAAGAAGAAGCACCGGCUAACUAUGUGCCAGCAGCCGCGG